rnacentral:rRNA from 1 species
CAGUCGCCACGGUAAUACAGAGGGUGCGAGCGUUAAUCGGAUUUACUGGGCGUAAAGCGUGCGUAGGUGGUGGUUUAAGUCCGUUGUGAAAGCCCUGGGCUCAACCUGGGAAUUGCAGUGGAUACUGGGUCACUAGAGUGUGGUAGAGGAUAGUGGAAUUUCCGGUGUAGCAGUGAAAUGCGUAGAGAUCGGAAGGAACAUCUGUGGCGAAGGCGACUAUCUGGGCCAACACUGACACUGAGGCACGAAAGCGUGGGGAGCAAACAGGAUUAGAUACCCGUGUAGUCCCUGUCUCUUAUAA